rnacentral:rRNA from 1 species
UCGAACAGACCUAAAUUUUCAGCUUCUACACCAAAAUUAUAUCUUAAUCCAACAUCGAGGUCGCAAUCUCUUUUUUCGAUUAGAACUCUUAAAAAAAAUUACGCUGUUAUCCCUAAGGUAACUUAAUCUUUUAAUCUUUAUAUAGGAUCAAACACUCAUAAAUUAAUGUAUAAAUAAAAAAAAAGUUAAAUAAAUUUUUCAAUCACCCCAAUUAAAUUAAUCCUCAUAUAAAAAAAUUAAUCCUAAAUAUAUUUAUAAUAAAUUAAUAAAACUCUAUAGGGUCUUCUCGUCUUUUACUAAUAUUUAAGCUUUUUUACUUAAAAAUAAAAUUCUAAUAAAUCAAAAUAGAGACAGAUUUUUUCUCAUUCAACCUUUCAUUCCAGCUUUCAAUUAAAAAACUAAUGAUUAUGCUACCUUUGCACGGUCAAAUUACCGCGGCCAUUUAAAUUUUCAUCGGGCAGGUCAGACCUUAAAUUAUAUUCAAAAG